GAUCUCCUUCUCGCAGCGGCGGCUGAAUCCUUCUCCAGCGGUGGCAGAAUCCUUCUCCUGCAGCGGCGCAGGUCUCGCUCGGUGUAGUUGGAGACACUCGUAUCAUAAAGCACUUUUGUAGAUCUUCCCCGUGGUCAUUAGAGGUGACAUCUAAUAUAU